rnacentral:rRNA from 1 species
UAGGGAAUCUUCGGCAAUGGGGGGAACCCUGACCGAGCAACGCCGCGUGAGUGAAGAAGGUUUUCGGAUCGUAAAGCUCUGUUGUUAAGGAAGAACGAGUGUGAGAAUGGAAAGUUCAUACUGUGACGGUACUUAACCAGAAAGGGACGGCUAACUACGUGCCAGCAGCCGCGGUAAUACGUAGGUCCCGAGCGUUUUCCGGAUUUAUUGGGCGUAAAGCGAGCGCUGGCGGUUAGAUAAGUCUGAAGUUAAAGGCAGUGGCUCAACCAUUGUAGGCUUUGGAAACUGUUUAACUUGAGUGCAGAAGGGGAGAGUGGAAUUCCAUGUGUAGCGGUGAAAUGCGUAGAUAUAUGGAGGAACACCGGUGGCGAAAGCGGCUCUCUGGUCUGUAACUGACGCUGAGGCUCGAAAGCGUGGGGAGCGAACAGG